rnacentral:lncRNA from 1 species
AUGGGAAUGCAGAAGGAACAGAGCAAACAAUGCAGUCAAACCCAUACCAACACAUGGGAGUGCAGAGCAAAGGGAGCAGAGCAAACAACCCCAAGAACAAAGCAAACAAUGCAAUCAAACUCAUCCCAACACGUGGAGUGCAGAGCAAACAACGCAAAGUCAUUGCAACACAUGGGAAUGCAGAAGGAACAAACGGGAAUGCAGAGCAAAAGGAGCAGCCCUUGCAACUCCGUGUUCCAGCAUCCAGGCCCAGCUCUGCACUUCCAAGCAAAGCAACCCCCAAUGCAUCACCUUGCACCUCCAAGCAAAGCAAAGCAGCCCUAAAAGCAUCACCAUGCACCUCCAAGCAGAGCAGCACGGCUCAGCUCUGCACCUCCAAGCACUGCAGCCCCCAAUGCAUCACCAUGCACCUCCAAGCAGAGCAGCAAUGCUCCCCAAUGCACCUCCAAGCAAAGCAACCCCCAAAGCAUCACCUUGCAGCUCCAAGCAGAGCAGCAAUGCUCAGCUCUGCACCUCCAAGCACUGCAGCCCCCAAUGCAUCAUGUUGCACCUCCAAGCAAAGCAAAGCAACCCCCAAUGCAUCACAUUGCACCUCCCAGCACUGCAGCCCCCAAUGCAUCACGUUGCACCUCCAAUCAGAGCAGCCCCCAAUGCAUCACGUUGCACCCCCCAGCACUGCAGCCCCCAAUGCAUCACCUUGCACCUGCAAGCACUGCAGCCCCCCAUGCAUCAUCCCCUGCAUCAGCUGCAGUGAGGCUGCACCCAGCCCCAGACGUGAGCAUCACGUUGCACCUGCAAGCAGAGCAUUCAGGUCUGCACCUGCAAGCAGAGCAACCCCCAAUGCAUCACGUUGCACCCCCCAGCACUGCAGCCCCCAAUGCAUCACCUUGCACCUCCCAGCACUGCAGCCCCCAAUGCAUCACGUUGCANCUCCCAGCACUGCAGCCCCCCAUGCAUCCCCUGCAUCAGCUGCAGUGAGGCUGCACCCAUUCCCAGACGUGCAAUGCUCCAUUGCUGGCUGCAGACAGCACAGUCCGUGCUUUGUGUGGGUGCCACGUGUGUGCAGUGACCAAUGGCUGCAGCCGCAGCGCGUGGCCGCGAUGCACAAACAGCGGCGCAGCGUCGCGCCCGUCCCAGCUGCAAGUGUCGUAAAUGCAAACGGUGCCAUCGAAACCUGCAAAGGGAGCAGAAAUGCAACCAAUGGGCAAAGGAGACGUGCAACACAUAGGGACCCCAUAGAGCCCCAUAGGGACCCCAUAGAGCCCCAUAGAGCCCCAGAGAACCCCAUAGAGCCCCAUAGGGACCCCAUAGAGCCUCAGAGACCCCAUAUAACCCCAUAUAACGCUUUAAGAACCCCAUAGAGCCCCAUAGGGACCCCAUAUCACCCCAUGGAGCCCCAUAUCACCCCAUAGAGACCCAGAAGGACCCCACAGAGCUUCAGAGAGACCCCAUAUCACCCCAUAGAGCCCCAUAUCACCCCAUGGAGGCCCAUAGCACCCCAUAGAGACCCAGAAGGACCCCACAGAGCCUCAGAGAGACCCCAUAUCACCCCAUAGAGCCCCAUAUCACCCCAUAAAGCCCCAUAGGGACCCCAUAGAGCGCCAUAGGGACCCCACAGAGCCUCAGAGAGACCCCAUAUCAACCCAUAGGGACGCAUAUCACCCCAUAGGGACCCAUACCACCUCAUAGGGACCCCAUAUCACCCCAUAGAGCCCCAUAGAACCCCAUAGAACCCUUUAAGGACCCCAUAGAACCCCAUAGACCCCAGAGCCCCAUAGGGACCCCACAGAGCCCCAUAUCACCCCAUAUCACCCCAUAGGGACCCCAUAUAACCCUUUAAGGACCCCAUAUCACCCCAUAGAUCCCCAUAUCACCCCACAGGGACCCCAUAUAACCCUUUAAGGACCCCAUAUCACUCCAUAUCACCCAUAGGGACCCCAUAUAACCCUUUAAGGACCCCAUAUCACCCCAUAGAGCCCCAUAUCACCCCAUAGGGACCCCAUAUCACCCCAUAGAGCCCCGUAUCACCCCAUAGAGCCCCAUAGGGAUCCCAUCUAACCCUUUAAGGACUCCACAGAGCCCCAUAGGGACCCCAUAUCACCCCAUAGAGCCCCAUAUCAUGCCAUAUCACCCCAUAGGGACCCCAUAUCACCCCAUAGAGCCCCAUAUCACCCCAUAUCACUACAUAGAGCCCCAUAGAGCCCCAUAGGGACCCCAUAUAACCCUUUAAGGACCCCAUAUCACCCCAUUGAGCCCCAUAUCACCCCAUAGGGACCCCAUAUCACCCCAUAGAGCCCCAUAGGGACCCCCAUAUCACCCCAUAGAGCCCCAUAUCACCCCAUAGAGCCCCAUAUCACCCCA